AGCAGCCGCGGUAAUUCCAGCUCCAAUAGCGUAUAUUAAAGUUGUUGCAGUUAAAAGCUCGUAGUUGAAUUUCGGGGUCAGCAGGUCGGUCGUGCCUACGGUAUGCACUGGUCUUGCUGAUUUCCUCCCUCUUGAUGAGCCGUAAUGUCAUUAAUUUGGUGUUGCGGGGAAUCAGGACUGUUACUUUGAAAAAUUAGAGUGUUAAGCAGGCAAGCGCUUGAAUACAUUAGCAUGGAAUAAUGAAAUAGGACGUUCGAUCCCUAUUUUGUUGGUUUCUAGGAUUGACGUAAUGACUAAUAGGGAUAGUUGGGGGCAUUAGUAUUCAAUUGUCAGAGGUGAAAUUCUUGGAUUUAUUGAAGACUAACUACUGCGAAAGCAUUUGCCAAGGACGUUUUCAUUAAUCAAGAACGAAGUUAGGGAUCGAAGACGAUCAGAUACCGUCGUAGUCUUAACCAUAAACUAUGCCGACUAGGGAUCGGAUGAUGUUAAUUUUUUAAUGACUCAUUUCGGCGCCUUACGG
rnacentral:rRNA from 1 species